rnacentral:rRNA from 1 species
AGUGAACGCUGGCGGAGGCCUAACACAUGCAAGUCGAACGGCAGCACAGUAAGAGCUUGCUCUUACGGGUGGCGCGUGGCGGACGGGUGAGGAAUACAUCGGAAUCUACUUUUUCGUGGGGGAUAACGUAGGGAAACUUACGCUAAUACCGCAUACGACCUACGGGUGAAAGCAGGGGAUCUUCGGCCCUUGCGCGAUUGAAUGGGCCGAUGUCGGAUUAGCUAGUUGGCGGGGUAAAGGCCCACCAAGGCGACGAUCCGUAGCUGGUCUGAGAGGAUGAUCAGCCACACUGGAACUGAGACACGGUCCAGACUCCUACGGGAGGCAGCAGUGGGGAAUAUUGGACAAUGGGCGCAAGCCUGAUCCAGCCAUACCGCGUGGGUGAAGAAGGCCUUCGGGUUGUAAAGCCCUUUUGUUGGGAAAGAAAAGCAGCAGGUUAAUACCCCGCUGUUCUGACGGUACCCAAAGAAUAAGCACCGGCUAACUUCGUG